CAGUAGCCGCGGGAAUACGGAGGGGGCUAGCGUUGUUCGGAAUUACUGGGCGUAAAGCGUACGUAGGCGGCUUUGUAAGUUAGAGGUGAAAGCCUGGAGCUCAACACCAGAACUGCCUUUAAGACUGCAUCGCUUGAACGUCGGAGAGGUGAGUGGAAUUCCGAGUGUAGAGGUGAAAUUCGUAGAUAUUCGGAAGAACACCAGUGGCGAAGGCGGCUCACUGGACGACUGUUGACGCUGAGGUACGAAAGCGUGGGGAGCGAACAGGAUUAGAUACCCCCGUAGUCCCUGUCUCUAUACA
rnacentral:rRNA from 1 species